CCUACUUGUAUUAUUUUGUACAAAAGCGGCCAAAUCAACAUAAAACUGAUCAAGGAUAAGAAGGCAGUUGCCCAACCAAACGUCGUUGUCCCAUCCGUUGUCAUUUUUGAAUUGCAAUGGUCGUUGUCUUCCAAUGUCUGGUCGUUCAAUUCUAAAUACGAUUUUGAAUUGCAACUGGCCUAACUUGCAGUUGACAUACAGGGAUAUGCUGACGAUUUCGAAA